rnacentral:rRNA from 1 species
AUUGAACGCUGGCGGCAGGCCUAACACAUGCAAGUCGAACGAGUGGCGGACGGGUGAGUAAUGUAUGGGAAACUGACCGAUGGAGGGGGAUAACUACUGGACACGAUUACUAAUACCGCAUUCCAUCGGCUGUGCCCAGAUGGGAUGUGCUAGUGGGUGGGGUAACGGCUGGCCUAGGCGACGAUCCAUAGCUGGUCUGAGAGGAUGACCAGCCACACUGGAACUGUGACACGUUCCAGACUCCUACGGGAGGAAGCAGUGGGGAAUAUUGCACAAGGGGCGCAAGCCUGAUGCAGCCAUGCCGCGUGUAUGAAGAAGGCCUUCGGGUUGUAAAGUACUUUCAGCGAGGAGGCGUUACUCGCAGAAGAAGCACCGGCUAACUCCGUGCCAGCAGCCGCGGUAAUUC